CACUCUCCAGGAUAGAAGACUCUGAAACUGGUUUGGGCCAGAAAGCCAUGCUUCAUUUAGUCACAAAGGACUUUCCCUUAACUUUUGAACCCCUGGUCUGAUUCGUGCCAUUUUUUAAUAUGUUGUUCCCCUGAAUGGAUUGAUUAUGAAAAUGUAUGUUUUAUGUUUGUGACAUGUAUAUUUUAGAAGUUAUAAAUAUUGUGUAAAAACUGUAUUCCUCUG
rnacentral:lncRNA from 1 species